rnacentral:rRNA from 1 species
UACGGGGGGGGCAAGCGUUGUUCGGAAUUACUGGGCGUAAAGGGCUCGUAGGCGGCCAACUAAGUCGGAUGUGAAAUCCCCAGGCUCAACCUGGGAACUGCAUCCGAUACUGGAUGGCUUGAAUUCGGGAGAGGGAUGCAGAAUUCCAGGUGUAGCGGUGAAAUGCGCAGAUAUCAGGAGGAACACCAAUGGCGAAGGCAGCUCGCUGGAACGGUACUGACGCUGAGGCGCGAAAGCGUGGGGAGCAAACAGG